rnacentral:rRNA from 1 species
UACAGAGGGGGCAAGCGUUGUUCGGAAUUACUGGGCGUAAAGGGCGCGUAGGCGGCCAACUAAGUCGGACGUGAAAUCCCCGGGCUCAACCCGGGAACUGCGUCCGAUACUGGAUGGCUCGAAUUCGGGAGAGGGAUGUGGAAUUCCAGGUGUAGCGGUGAAAUGCGUAGAUAUCUGGAGGAACACCGGUGGCGAAGGCGGCAUCCUGGACCGGUAUUGACGCUGAUGCGCGAAAGCCAGGGGAGCAAAC